rnacentral:misc_RNA from 1 species
GGAAGGCUUCGGUCUUUCGCAGUGCAGACCAGAUCAAGUCCAAUGUGGCUUGCUGGUUGCUCAUGGGUGGAACAUUGACAUAGGUGCUCGUCUGAAUGGUUCAGACCUAGUACGCCUCUUCGGGGGUUGGAACGGUUGGGGCCGGCCGGUCGGGUGCAUGCACGCUGUUGGGUCCUGAGGGACCGGACGAACCCUGGCGCUCGUUUCGAGUGUUCGGGGGUGAUGGUUUCUUCAGACCUUCGCCGAGAUCAGCUGUGUGCUGGUGGGUGUGGGGGUUCUGGCCGUCUGUUGAGAACUACAUAGUGGACGCGAGCAUCUUAGAUUCAGGACUUUGUCCUGGAUCACAAAAGGUGAGUCGCCAAGGGCAUGCCUUCGGGUGUGUUGUUUGGCGUAUUCACUGGUCAAUUUCGCAGCACUUUCGGGUGUUGCACGAAUUCGAUCGAACUCAUGUGAUUUCAAGUUUCUAAGAGCAAACGGUGGAUGCCUUGGCAUCUGGAGCC